rnacentral:rRNA from 1 species
UACGGGGGGGGCGAGCGUUAUUCGGAAUUACUGGGCGUAAAGGGCGUGUAGGCGGUCCUGUUUGUCGUGGGUGAAAGCCCUUGGCUUAACCAAGGAACUGCUCACGAAACGGUAGGACUUGAGUCCGGGAGAGGAGAGCGGAAUUCCCAGUGUAGCGGUGAAAUGCGUAGAUAUUGGGAGGAACACCAGUGGCGAAGGCGGCUCUCUGGACCGGUACUGACGCUGAGACGCGAAAGCUAGGGGAG